UGCUGUGAUGAGUUUGCUCAGACUAGAGUCUCUGACACCGUCAGUGAUGCUACUUUAAGCCCUGAGCA